rnacentral:miRNA from 1 species
AUCUUGGGAUCUUGUUACAAUGAAGAUUCUGAUUCAGUAGGUCUGAGUGGCUCCUGAGACUCUGCAUUUCUAACAAGUUCCCAGGUGGUGCC